GAUGAACGCUGGCGGCGUGCCUAAUACAUGCAAGUCGAGCGAACAGACGAGGAGCUUGCUCCUCUGACGUUAGCGGCGGACGGGUGAGUAACACGUGGAUAACCUACCUAUAAGACUGGGAUAACUUCGGGAAACCGGAGCUAAUACCGGAUAAUAUAUUGAACCGCAUGGUUCAAUAGUGAAAGACGGUUUUGCUGUCACUUAUAGAUGGAUCCGCGCCGCAUUAGCUAGUUGGUAAGGUAACGGCUUACCAAGGCGACGAUGCGUAGCCGACCUGAGAGGGUGAUCGGCCACACUGGAACUGAGACACGGUCCAGACUCCUACGGGAGGCAGCAGUAGGGAAUCUUCCGCAAUGGGCGAAAGCCAGACGGAGCAACGCCGCGUGAGUGAUGAAGGUCUUCGGAUCGUAAAACUCUGUUAUUAGGGAAGAACAAAUGUGUAAGUAACUAUGCACGUCUUGACGGUACCUAAUCAGAAAGCCACGGCUAACUACGUG
rnacentral:rRNA from 1 species